AUUGAACGCUGGCGGCAUGCCUAACACAUGCAAGUCGAACGGUAACACGGCUACAGGUGGCGAUUAGGGGUGGACGGUGGCGGAAUGCUUCGGAAUGUGCCGGAUUGUGCUGUUUAACGGGGGGUAACCUUUGCUAAUUCCCCCUACGACCUCAUACUACCUGCGGGGGACAGCAAGGGCUCGUCGGGCCUUGCGGGCUGGUGUGAGAUUAGGUAGUUGGUGGGGUAAAGGCCGACCAAGGCGAAGAUCUGUAGCUGUUCUGAGAGGAUGAUCAGCCACACGGGGACUGAGACACGGCCCAGACUCCUACGGGAGGCAGCAGUGGGGAAUAUUGGACAAUGGGCGCAAGCCUGAUCCAGCCAUACCGCGUGGAGGAUGAAGGCCUUCGGGUUGUAAACUGCUUUUGUUCGGAAAGAAAAGCAGUAGUUUAAUACAGGACGGUCAUGACGGUACCCGAAGAAUAAGCACCGGCUAACUACGUG
rnacentral:rRNA from 1 species